GUUCAUAUAGCUUAUACUNGAGUUUAAUAUUGAAGCUAUUAAGGAAGAUUUAUCUUAUGAUCA
rnacentral:tRNA from 1 species